UGGUAAUACCGGAUGCUCCGCUCCAUCGCAUGGUGGGGUGGGAAAUGCUUUUGCGGCAUGGGAUGGGGUCGCGUCCUAUCAGCUUGUUGGCGGGGUGAUGGCCCACCAAGGCGUUGACGGGUAGCCGGCCUGAGAGGGUGACCGGCCACAUUGGGACUGAGAUACGGCCCAGACUCCUACGGGAGGCAGCAGUGGGGAAUAUUGCACAAUGGGCGCAAGCCUGAUGCAGCGACGCCGCGUGCGGGAUGGAGGCCUUCGGGUUGUAAACCGCUUUUGUUCAAGGGCAAGGCACGGUUUCGGCCGUGUUGAGUGGAUUGUUCGAAUAAGCACCGGCUAACUACGUGCCAGCAGCCGCGGUAAUACGUAGGGUGCGAGCGUUAUCCGGAUUUAUUGGGCGUAAAGGGCUCGUAGGCGGUUCGUCGCGUCCGGUGUGAAAGUCCAUCGCCUAACGGUGGAUCUGCGCCGGGUACGGGCGGGCUGGAGUGCGGUAGGGGAGACUGGAAUUCCCGGUGUAACGGUGGAAUGUGUAGAUAUCGG
rnacentral:rRNA from 1 species